rnacentral:rRNA from 1 species
CCGGCACGGGUGAGUAACACGUAUCCAACCUGCCGUCUACUCUUGGACAGCCUUCUGAAAGGAAGAUUAAUACAAGAUGGCAUCAUGAGUCCGCAUGUUCACAUGAUUAAAGGUAUUCCGGUAGACGAUGGGGAUGCGUUCCAUUAGAUAGUAGGCGGGGUAACGGCCCACCUAGUCUUCGAUGGAUAGGGGUUCUGAGAGGAAGGUCCCCCACAUUGGAACCGAGACACGGUCCAA